AUUGAACGCUAGCGGGAUGCCUUACACAUGCAAGUCGAACGGCAGCGCGGACUUCGGUCUGGCGGCGAGUGGCGAACGGGUGAGUAAUGUAUCGGAACGUGCCCAGUAGCGGGGGACAACCACUCGAAAGAGUGGCUAAUACCGCAUACGCCCUACGGGGAAAGGGGGGAGUCGCAAGACCUCUCACUAUUGGAGCGGCCGAUAUCGGAUUAGCUAGUUGGUGGGGUAAAGGCCUACCAAGGCGACGAUCCGUAGCUGGUUUGAGAGGACGACCAGCCACACUGGGACUGAGACACGGCCCAGACUCCUACGGGAGGCAGCAGUGGGGAAUUUUGGACAAUGGGGGAAACCCUGAUCCAGCCAUUCCGCGUGUGCGAUGAAGGCCUCGGUUGUAAAGCACUUUGGCAGGAAAGGAAAUACGUGUGGGUUAAGU
rnacentral:rRNA from 1 species